UACGUAGGGUGCAAGCGUUAAUCGGAAUUACUGGGCGUAAAGCGUGCACAGGCGGUUUUGUAAGUCUGUCGUGAAAUCCCCGGGCUCAACCUGGGAAUUGCGAUGGAGACUGCAAGGCUAGAAUCUGGCAGAGGGGGGUAGAAUUCCACGUGUAGCAGUGAAAUGCGUAGAGAUGUGGAGGAACACCGAUGGCGAAGGCAGCCCCCUGGGUCAAGAUUGACGCUCAUGCCACGAAAGCGU
rnacentral:rRNA from 1 species